GUCAAAAUAAGAGUUUAUCGACUAUGCCUACGUAAGUAGGAACUGUCAGGGAUAGUAA
rnacentral:sRNA from 12 species